rnacentral:rRNA from 1 species
GUCGAGCGGACAGAUGGGAGCUUGCUCCCUGAUGUUAGCGGCGGACGGGUGAGUAACACGUGGGUAACCUGCCUGUAAGACUGGGAUAACUCCGGGAAACCGGGGCUAAUACCGGAUGGUUGUUUGAACCGCAUGGUUCAGACAUAAAAGGUGGCUUCGGCUACCACUUACAGAUGGACCCGCGGCGCAUUAGCUAGUUGGUGAGGUAACGGCUCACCAAGGCGACGAUGCGUAGCCGACCUGAGAGGGUGAUCGGCCACACUGGGACUGAGACACGGCCCAGACUACUACGGGAGGCAGCAGUAGGGAAUCUUCCGCAAUGGACGAAAGUCUGACGGAGCAACGCCGCGUGAGUGAUGAAGGUUUUCGGAUCGUAAAGCUCUGUUGUUAGGGAAGAACAAGUGCCGUUCAAAUAGGGCGGCACCUUGACGGUACCUAACCAGAAAGCCACGGCUAACUACGUGCCAGCAGCCGCGGUAAUACGUAGGUGGCAAGCGUUGUCCGGAAUUAUUGGGCGUAAAGGGCUCGCAGGCGGUUUCUUAAGUCUGAUGUGAAAGCCCCCGGCUCAACCGGGGAGGGUCAUUGGAAACUGGGGAACUUGAGUGCAGAAGAGGAGAGUGGAAUUCCACGUGUAGCGGUGAAAUGCGUAGAGAUGUGGAGGAACACCAGUGGCGAAGGCGACUCUCUGGUCUGUAACUGACGCUGAGGAGCGAAAGCGUGGGGAGCGAACAGGAUUAGAUACCCUGGUAGUCCACGCCGUAAACGAUGAGUGCUAAGUGUUAGGGGGUUUCCGCCCCUUAGUGCUGCAGCUAACGCAUUAAGCACUCCGCCUGGGGAGUACGGUCGCAAGACUGAAACUCAAAGGAAUUGACGGGGGCCCGCACAAGCGGUGGAGCAUGUGGUUUAAUUCAAAGCAACGCGAAGAACCUUACCAGGUCUUGACAUCCUCUGACAAUCCUAGAGAUAGGACGUCCCCUUCGGGGGCAGAGUGACAGGUGGUGCAUGGUUGUCGUCAGCUCGUGUCGGGAGAUGUUGGGUUAAGUCCCGCACCAGCGCACCCUUGAUCUUAGUUGCAGCAUU